CGACCGGGUCCGGCCGGGGGGUUCGCUCAGAAGGACUCCCGGCCGCAGGACGCGGAACAAAACUAGUUGUCGAGCGGUGGGGCGCGCGCAGGCGCUUCCGGACUCGUCACGGCUCCCUGAGCCAACCUGGCGGCCCACCCCCUGCGCAUGCCCAGUGUGCGGGCUGGCCGGAGCCCACUCCGGCCGCUCCAGGGCCCGCCUGGAUUUCCCCUCUCCGGGCCUUCGAGGUCGCUGAGAGGCUGGGACCCAGGCUGUGCGGAAAGGAGGCCCCCGGCUUGCAGAAGCCUGGGCUCUCCGCUUUUAAAGUGUUUUUGGGAAGAGAUACCCAUUGUGUCCAUUCUGAUCCUUUGAGGAGGGUCCCCGAGCCUGGACACGUCUAUGCUUGACUCCUGCUGUAAACCAACAGCUUUCAGAUUUCUCCUGAAACGCCAUUUAACACUCUGGAUUAGCUUUCCUAAACCCAGCAUGAUCGCUUUUCCUUUUUAGGCUAGUUUCUGUUCCUCUCCUUCCGGCCAGGCCAGCGUGGCCUUACUUUCACAUCCGCCCCAAGCAACCUUUAUUCCCAGAACGCUCCGCUUUAAAGAAACCUCUCAGGACCGUGCCUUUGAGGAUCAGAGCUAAAGGAGUACUUCCUACCGACCUCUGGCUGCCAAAAAAUACAAUAAAAUAGAGCCACGUCACGCGCCAGGAGGAGUGUAUCAUCUGGGCACCUCUUUCUUUCCUGGUGGCGUCUGCUAGGGAGCUGAGGCGGAAUGUUGCCUGGCCCUAGGGUAGCACUUGACAAAGCUUCUUUCCAGGCGUUACUUCCCCAGGCCUGCCGUCUCAGAGUCAUGAAGUCUUCUGUCAGAGGGAAAAGGUCAUGCUUCCAACCAGAAGAAAGGUCAGCUCUACUAGAGCCAAGGGAUUAUGCUCUGACGCUUGUCACCAAGCCAAAACCAGGUUUUUCUGUUUUCUACCAGCAUACAUAGUGUCUCAGGAUUAUUGUUGAGUAUGCUAUGUUUUUUUAAAAGUGACUUUUCCCUAAUAUUUAACAAAACCUUUAUUGAAUUUACUCAUUUCAGUUUCUAUUCAUCUAAACUCUCAUGAUAAUAGGUAUUAAAUUUGGUGUACAUAUUUUCAAACUUUUUUCGUAAGCAUAGGAAAACAAAUUGUAUAUGUGUAUAUUUUACUAAAUGUCAGUUAAAACUAUAAUAUCAUUCUGCAUCUUACUUUUUUCUCUUAAUAUACAACGGAAAUCUUUCCAUGCCAAUAUCUGUACAGCUAUCUCAUUGUUUUAAACAUCUACAUAAUAUUUCAUUUUAUAAAUGUACCUUUAUUUAUUUAAUCAGCAACCUAUACAAGUACCUUGCCCAUACAUGUGCUUGCAAACCAGCAUCAGAAUUUCCAGAAGUUAAGAUCCUAGAAGGCCAAUAGGUAGAUCAAAUGACAUGCAUACUUAACAUUUUAAUAGAUACUGAGAAAUUUAUAACUCAAAAAGACAGUACCAAUUAUCUCUUCCACCAAUAUACCUCUGUUUCACUAUACCCUUUCCAGCAAUUCAUGUCAGAAAUCUUUUUAAUGUUUGUUAAUCUGAUUGGCAAAAAAAAUAAAAUAAAAUCCUCAGUAUGGUUUAAAAUUUCA
rnacentral:lncRNA from 1 species